GUCAGUAUGAAUAAAAAAAAAAAAAAAUUGGAACCAAGUAAAAGAAAGGCAAAUCUUAUCUUCUCACCAAACACAUCGUACGCGAUAUCACCAAACACCAUCUUCUCCAAAUCGAUCAAACCCAGCUGCAACCCCAAAUCGACUCUCCGCCGUCUCCUCCAAGCACCGCCGUCUCCCUCUCUCACUCUCAGUCGUUCUCUCUCUCUCUCUCUCUCUCUCUCUCUCUCUCUCACUCUCAUCCGUUCUCUCUUUCACUCGUAAUCUCCAACCCUAGCUCUAAAUCAAACCUUCUCUCACUCGUAAGGGAAACGCAGCAUCGCAAACCGUCAACUCAUCCUUCAACCGUGACGAUCUCGAUAUCAAUUGGCGAUUCUCCCUAAAUCUCAAACCCCAGUAUGGAUUCGUCCCUAAAAUCCUUAACCCAGUGUCGAUUCAUCCCCAAAUUCCAGACAUCAGUUCGCGCAAAAUCUCUUGAAGAAUUGGUACCACCAUCGAAGGUUCAUUCUUCCACUUCAACCGAUUUCGUCGAUGCCGAUUCGCCGAUUCUUCGUUCGUCAAAGUCUAUCCUCUGCUAUUUAGUUUGGAAGUGAUGUUGGUGAAGCCUCGGAACCACAACGAAAGCUUCAGUUUGGAGUGUUUGAAUGUGACAUGCUAAAGUGUGAGGGAGUUAUAGAAGAGUUUCUUUUAGAAGUAUAUUUUGGAAUGAAAGUGAGUUGGAGAUGAUUGGUCAAAGUUCAGAUUAUCAGAAAACUAUUUACCAAAAGUCUCAAAUGCAAAAGGACUUUUUGGCCAUCAGGCCUGUGAGUACUUUGCAUACUUAGCUUGUUUCUUCAAUGCAUAAGUUGUUUUGAUCAAUUUUAGUUUGAAUUAUUGUUUUGUUUUAUCAUAUAGUAUUAUAUAGUAAGUGAAGAUGAUGUUCGUUCCAUCUGUGUCAAGGCAUAAUAUUAUCCAUGUUUGCAUGUAGUUGUAGUUAUGCAGUUUGCUAGAGUAAUCUUAUAUUAUCGAUCUUGUGUUGGGUGGUUUGUUCUUCAAUACACUAUAUGCAGGCUAUUUUCUCUUUUCAUUCUUUAGCUUCGAAGAAAAAUGCAAUUUUGGGUUUCAUUGUUUUUCACUCUGAUCAAUUUUGAAGAACAAAGAUUGGCCUUUUAGAUUUCUUGUUUUUCUUCUAUUGACUAUUGUUGUUGAUUUUGAUUGUUGAUGAUCAUCAUGGAGAAUUAUUCAAGAAGUGGUGUUCAUGAUUUUACUAUGGCUUCAAGAAAAGCUGAAGAAACAAUUGAGGAUGCGUACAAUUUCAUGAUGAAUUGGCUUACAAAGGCUCCCACAGUUUAUGGGAUUUUUCAUAGCAAGAGAAAGCUAUGUUGGUAAGGGUAAGUGUUUAAUUUGAAUUCGGUUAGUAUGUUUUUUAGAAUUGUUUAUGCUCUGCGUAGUAUUUAAACUUCAGAUUGAAGGAGUACCGAUAUGCGUCGGCGAUACAACACCUACACCGUUAAUGGUUAUAUUGAAUCACUUUUAUUUUCUUUUAUAAUGCUUUGUUUUAUAUGCUAGCUUGUUUUAGGACAUUGAUGCAGAAGACUUUGGAUACUCUAGGAUAUAGAUUGAUGCAGGUAAUUUCGAUUUCUGCUUUCCCAUGAAUUGUUCUUCGAGUGUGCCUGUUUUCAGAUGUUAUUACUUGCUUGCUAUGUUCUAAGGAGCUGUAUGAUUUGCGAGACCGCUGGGCAACUUGUUUUCUUGACCUAUAUAGUCCUGAGGUAGAUUAUGAUGAUGCUGAUGAGAAAUAUUAGGAGCUAGCUAGCUAGGUUUGUGUGAAGUUACAAUGGAUUAGUAUUAAUUAUGAUGAUGUUUUGAUUUGUA